AUGAAAGUUUGCAGAUGUAGCCAAUUUUACUAUCGCAGUGGUAUUUCCUAUCUUAUAAAAUUAAUUUAUGUUGCCUUAUUGUUGCAGGUGAAACCUCUGCCUGCAGAGCAGAACCUGCUCAUGUGGAAAGAACUUCAUCUCUUUCCACCCACAAAGUUAAUAUGUGGGCCAACAGGAUCUAAGGAAAUAGUUACUAAAAAAGGCAAACGGGCUGAUAUUACCAGGGAUACAUUUGUUAGCAGCAACGUGGGAGCACACACCCAGCAAGCAAGGAAAAUUACACAGGGUAAUGGGUGCGGCUUUUCUGCCUAGGGUUCAGUUGGCCAGUUGUAAAUGAAACAGCUGCAACAGCCUUGUAUUCCUAUGAGUAAUCAAAUAUUGCUCAUCAAGGGUGGGUACGUUGUGGUUCACAGUAUUAAAUCCUAGCUGCAGAAAAGGGCUCUGUGAUACUCUGCUAGGCAGUUUCCCACUUGAUACAGAUGUACAAAUAAUGACUGCUCUCCUGUGCUCAGGCGGCCAUGGAGCAAAGAGAGCCGUGGCACCUGAAGUCCUGCUCCAAACGUGGGCCCUUGUUUCUCUGCAGAAAUUACCUCAUGAGUCCUGAAGGCAGCUAAUGAGUUCCCUUCUUGACAAGGUCAGCUUUUGGCUUGGACAUCUCCACGUUGCACAUCUUGUUUCAGGCACAAAGAUUCUCAGUCGGCUCCUUCUUUGGAUCCUGUUAGCUUGUGUGGGAUGACUGCGGACCGUCAGCUCAUGGCCUGCUAGUGGCUGAGAUGCUGUAUCUUCUUGGCAUCUAAUGUGUCUACUUUCCACUGUAGAAGUUCUCAGCUAAUGAGCAGCUUGCUUUGGACAGUUAUCCAGAACAAACAUGUUGAGUUACUAGGAGAUAUUCACACAGCUUACGUCUGUAGGUUGCACACAAUGAACUCUGUUGCAGCUCUUUCAAGGUUAAUGAAAUAAUGGACUAUGAUAUGUAUCUUUAUGACUUGUUUAGUGGUUGUGCUUCUGACUGAGCGGGCAGUCUAAGAGGAUGCUUCCUGAAAUUAAUUACUUUGGGGGAAUUUAACGUCAUUCGUGAUCCUGAAACACUGCAAGCCACAAGACUUCUGGUUUUUCUCAUCUCCCUAAGGAAGAACAGAUCAAUUGAAUCAUUUAACUCUAAGCAAGAGGAGACAUGAAACAAGUACGAUGACUCCUCUUGUCCUUUGAAGAGAGAAGCAGCUCUUUUCUCACUCUAGGGUACAAGGUUAUGACCCACUUUCCUGCUUCACCAGUAUAAAUGGGGCAUGCUUUCAACCUUUAUGGUAAUCCCUUCCUAGAAUGCUUGUCUUCUGAAUAGCUUCCACUGUGCUUCAUGGGACCUAGCUCACUAUCAUUUCUUGUAAGCUCUGACCUGAAGCAGUGUGACUGGCUGGAAAUCUGUGACAGAUCUUGGGGACCUCGCAUAAAUGCACAUAUAAUUCAACUGCAUAAAACAGCAAUAAAUGAAUAGAUAAGAGAGUUACUUUCA
rnacentral:lncRNA from 1 species